AGGUUUUCGCUAAUUGUGCUACAUUGAGUUCUAUCCCUGGGGCAUAUAUGGAAGAAUGGAAGUGAUUCUAGUGUGAAAGUCACAGAACAUGCAGCUUGCCGGUGAUGGUCACAGUGGACUCUCUUACGCUUUUCAGUUUCUGGUUCUGGGGAUUAAACUGGAAAUCUUUUGCCUGGACUCUGUUUUCUCUCUUUGAAGACAAGAGCACCUGAGUUUGGCUCCCAGCACCCAUGUCAAGUGGCUUCACAACCUGUAACUCCAGCUCCAAGGACAGCCAGCAUCUCUGACAAGACAUGUGCAUACCUCCACAAAGAAGAGACACACAUAAUUUAAAAAUAACAAAAAUAAAUCCUAAAAUUUUACAAUGUUAAGUUAGCACCUAUAAGAAUUUAAAAUGCGGUAAGUCAGUGCUUAUCAUAAACCACAAGGAGAUACUUUACAGUUAUUAGACGAGUGGGAAGGUAGAAAUUCAAGGACAGCCUGGGCUACAAUAGUGAGACCCUGUCUCAGAAAACAAAACGAAAUACAGUCUGUAUCUACGGUUAAGGACAUAGCUCAGAGGUAAGCCUGCUUGCUGUACAAACAUAGGGAUCGGGCUUCAAAUCCCAGAACCCAGGUAAAAGGAACUGGACACGGUAGAGUAUUUCCCUGUAACCCCAGAGCGAUGGGGUGGAGACAGGACAAUUGUUAGGGCGUGUUGGCUAUCAGGCUAUCUCCAGGGCCGCAAGACAGUAAGACGGAGCAGCUGAACAGUAAGGCAGAAUACCUGAUCCUCUGCUGGCCUCUGUGUACACGUACAUCUGUCAUCACUCUCCGUGUCUCUCUGACUUGUGUG